CAAGCCAUGGAUGCUGAGCUAGAUCUUUCUUUAGGUUCUUUGGUGAAAUAAUAAACCUUGUUGGUUUUGAACUCUGACUAUCUAGAGGUGGAACAAGUAUUUCAAAUGCCUGGUGAUCUGAAGCCUGAUCUAGACCUACAGCUUGAAUCUUACUUCUGAGUUGAGGAGGCAGAACUAGGACUUGAGUCUGAUUCCAACCUGGCACUGGAACCACCUCCGGGACCCUUUGUUGUGGAGUCAGCUUGUCAUUAGGAUCCCAAUGUGGAAUGGCAAACUGAUCUGGCCCUGGAGGCAGCACUUGAGCUGAAUGCGUGUCCAGCAAUAGAGCCAAAGUCUCAGUCAACUGCUGAGGCAGGGCCAACAUCUGGGAAGAAGCAGAGGACCCCAGUGUCUAGCACAUGGCUUGUGUAAGGUUGGUGGGGGGGGCUGUGUAGCCCCCUCCCCUGCUGCAAACCCCUCUGCCCUAAGCAGUGAGUCCGCUCCACUUUUCCACUUGAACAAGCACCUGGCCUCACCAAGCCCAGCCACAUCCUGUGACUGGCAGCACACCCAGCCCCCAUGCCGUCUACCCGAUCCUGGAGAUAUCCUGUUGCAGCCCCAGAGACAUCCUGUUUACGGAAAACUUAAUAAACCACUUAAACAAGCACCUAAAAAGCAAGCUCCCCUCCACUUAUGCCUCUCACCGCAUAUAAUUACCCUUGCCUCAGUCCCAGACAACUGUGACUUCUCGAGUCCCUGGUUUCUCCUGGGACCUGGGAACCUCACCCAGGCCCCUCCCUUGGGACCCGUUACCCUCACCUAGGAGUGCUCCAAUAAAGCCUCUUUGCUUAACCCUUUCAA